UGGGGAAUUUUGGACAAUGGGCGAAAGCCUGAUCCAGCAAUGCCGCGUGUGUGAAGAAGGCCUUCGGGUUGUAAAGCACUUUUGUCCGGAAAGAAAUCCUUGGCUCUAAUACAGUCGGGGGAUGACGGUACCGGAAGAAUAAGCACCGGCUAACUACGUGCCAGCAGCCGCGGUAAUACGUAGGGUGCAAGCGUUAAUCGGAAUUACUGGGCGUAAAGCGUGCGCAGGCGGUUUGCUAAGACCGAUGUGAAAUCCCCGGGCUCAACCUGGGAACUGCAUUGGUGACUGGCAGGCUAGAGUAUGGCAGAGGGGGGUAGAAUUCCACGUGUAGCAGUGAAAUGCGUAGAGAUGUGGAGGAAUACCGAUGGCGAAGGCAGCCCCCUGGGCCAAUACUGACGCUCAUGCACGAAAGCGUGGGGAGCAAACAGGAUUAGAUACCCUGGUAGUCCACGCCCUAAACGAUGUCAACUAGUUGUUGGGGAUUCAUUUCCUAGUAACGUAGCUAACGCGUGAAGUUGACCGCCUGGGGAGUACGGUCGCAAGAUUAAAACUCAAAUGAAUUGAGCGG
rnacentral:rRNA from 1 species